UACGAAGGGUGCAAACGUUGCUCGGAAUUAUUGGGGCGUAAAGCGCACGUAGGCGGCUUUUCAAGUCCCAUGUGAAAUCCCACGGCUUAACCGUGGAAGUGCAUGGGAAACUGGAAAGCUUGAGUACUUAAGAGGAUCGCGGAAUUCCCGGUGUAGAGGUGAAAUGCGCAGAUAUCAGGAGGAACACCAAUGGCGAAGGCAGCUCGCUGGGACGGUACUGACGCUGAGACGCGAAAGCGUGGGGAGCAAACAGG
rnacentral:rRNA from 1 species